CAGCUCAGUGGUAGAGCAUUUGCUUUGAGUGCGUAAGAUCCAAGGUUCAAUCUCUGGCAUCUCAUGG